CUGGGACUACAGUCUUGAGCCACCGCGCCCGGCCGGUUUUCACUUUCUAAAGAACAAUCUAGCCUCCUAAAUGACAAGGUAGAUAGAAUAGGUCUUGUUUGCAAAAUAAAUUCAAGACCUACUUACCUACUAAAAGAA
ensembl:scaRNA